rnacentral:rRNA from 1 species
CACCGAAGCUGCGGCAGCGACGCUUAUGCGUUGUUGGGUAGGGGAGCGUUCUGUAAGCCUGUGAAGGUGGCCUGUGAGGGUUGCUGGAGGUAUCAGAAGUGCGAAUGCUGACAUAAGUAACGAUAAAGCGGGUGAAAAGCCCGCUCGCCGGAAGACCAAGGGUUCCUGUCCAACGUUAAUCGGGGCAGGGUGAGUCGACCCCUAAGGCGAGGCCGAAAGGCGUAGUCGAUGGGAAACGGGUUAAUAUUCCCGUACUUGGUGUUACUGCGAAGGGGGGACGGAGAAGGCUAUGUUGGCCGGGCGACGGUUGUCCCGGUUUAAGCGUGUAGGUGUGUGUUCCAGGUAAAUCCGGUUCACUUUAACACUGAGGCGUGAUGACGAGGCACUACGGUGCUGAAGUAACAAAUGCCCUGCUUCCAGGAAAAGCCUCUAAGCAUCAGGUAACAUCAAAUCGUACCCCAAACCGACACAGGUGGUCAGGUAGAGAAUACCAAGGCGCUUGAGAGAACUCGGGUGAAGGAACUAGGCAAAAUGGUGCCGUAACUUCGGGAGAAGGCACGCUGACAC